AGGCAUUAGGUGCCUUGAGGGUAGAGGCUGUACCAUCUUGCCUGUAGAAACAGCUCGAUUGUUUCUUAGCUGACUUCAGCUCUCCACCCUUUUCUCUGCACCACGGACCCCAGGUGACUGAGAGAAGUCAAGAGUGCUUGGUUAGAGCAGGGCUUGGUUUUCCCCAGCUGAACUUCCCAUUGUCCCCAUUUUACAAUACCUAACCCAGGGCUAGCAGCAGGGCGCAGAUUCUGGGACCCCGAUAGAUACACAGGGCAGCUUUCAGCAGCGAUUGGUUGUGUCUUAGGGCGGUAUCUUAACCUGGGCGUGAAUUUAACUUAGAUCUUGCAAAAUCUCCAGACAGCUACUUGUGUGACACAGCAGAGUGGGUCUCAGGUACCAUGGCCACAGGCAGGAGAGAGUCAGUGGGGCACGGUAUAUGGAAGUGCUGGGAGCGUCAUACUAAAGGGGAGCAGUCUGGGAAGUCUUCAGAAAGGAGGUCAGUCUAGGAGGACCUGAAAGGAUAGGUGAAGAGAUGGAGGGACCCAGGUAGGGAGAAGGCAGCGUGCUGGGCGAGGUACAGAGGAGAGAGGGCAGGAGGGCGAGAGGUUAGGAGCUGGCUGAUGGGGCUGUGGAUAUAGCAGUAAAGACUAGUGGUUAAGAUCAAGCUCUGGAGUCAACAGACCUGUGUUUGAGUCAUUAACUAACUAUGUGAUUUGGGAAAGUUACUUACCCUCCACAGGCCUGAGUUUUCUUAUCUGUGUAAUCCAGCUAAUGGUCGUUCCUUAGUAUUAGCAUUUUUAUGAGGAGUUAAUGAAUUAAUGCUUAUAAAAUACAUUUUAAACAGCCAAUAAAUCCUAGCCAAGGUUACUGCUAUUAUUGUAUUAUAAUUAUUAUUAUAAACCCAUACUUGGCAUUUGUUUUCCAGAAGAAUCUCAUUGCACCUCCAUUCGGGCCCUUCUUUCUCCUGCAUUUGCUCACCUGUGUUCAUGCAUCCAUCACAUAAUACUAGUAGUACAUAAUACCCAUAUAUUAUAUGUAAUAAUAAUAUAAGAAUAGCUAACAUUUAAAUUGCAUAUUCUAUGUGCCAAGCAUUGUACUAAGUACUUUACAUGUAUGAAACUCACUUAAUCCUCCCAAUAAUGCUAUGAAGUAGGUACUAGUAUCAUCCACAUUUUAUCAAGGAUGAAAUUGAGAUACAGAGAAGUUAAACAGCUUGCCCACGGUCACACAACUAGUAAGUGACAAAACUAGAAUUUUUGGUUCCAAGAAUCAGGUUCAGAACCCAGGUUCCUAACUACUUGGCUAUUGAACACCCUUGCUAUUUUCAAAGACUCUGGGAAAAAUGGAAGGACAAAAAUGUAAAUUAAACCCUGAUCCCACCCGCAGGGAGAGAGUAACCAGGAGGCGUGAUAAGACACAGUAAGAUCGUACCCACCCAAGGCAGUGUGAUCACAGCUGCCUGGAGGCCUAGCUGGAGCCCAUGUAGGCCUCUUGGCAUGCCUGGGUUGUCACUUGUGAUCAGCUUGGGUCAUCAGAUGAAUUCCCUGUUGUAGGCUCUCUAAAAAGACCCCAGUAACGGAGUGCAUUGCUGAUACCUUGUAGCCACAGUUGGUGCCCCCUGCCCCAUGGAAGGCUGGAGGAUAGAAUGUGUUGGGUGGGUAUAAACCCACCCACAACUGACUGAAAAUAUAACUCAAAGUACAGAGCCGAUAGAGCGCGGGUGGGGUCAUUUUCUCGCUGGGUCUUUGGGUCAGUCACUGGCUGGCCACCUAUUUUUUAGUUCUGUGUUCUGUACUGGAUAUUACACAGAAAGCAUGUUUUGUCUUUUUUUUUUCCCUCUUGAGCACACUUCUAAAAUCCCUAGGAUUAUUCCUCGUGGCCCUUCCCAGCUUCAAAAGGCUGAUGCUUAGUAUAAACGUUUACAAUGUGGGUGCAAAAAGGAUCCCAGAUAGUGGUCUCCUGAAGCUGACUCAUACCAGCUUGUAAGAACCAAUUGUUAAAUUUUCCAAGCCAAUUGUUAAACACAGCCAUUAUCAAAGACUGAAUUAUAGAAACUUACAAUUAAAUAAAUUAUAUUAAAAACAAAGGUAAUAAAUAUUCAAAACUCAUACUUCAUAAUUCCUUCCCCACACGGUAUGCUAUUGCAUACCCAACUCCGCACUCAGCAGCGUGACAUGGGCAGCUUGAAAGUGGCUAUGGGGGUAGUAUUUACACGACAGGAAGCAGCCAACACUACAAAGCAGCGCCCUCCUCGCCAAGCCCGUCGUCAACAUUUCUCUGCACACCCUCCUUAGAGAUAAUCAAAUCUUGUGAUUCUCACCGUGUUUCAGCCAAGGGCAUCCGCUGGGUGUGCCCGGUUGCCACCUGGAGGAGGAGGAGGUGAGAGCCGUGGGGCUCUGCCCCAAGCUAGGCCAGCAAUAGGGUUGGUUGUUUUCAAUAUGAACUUAUGUGUAAGAUUUUGUUUGAGUAAAGUUCUUUUCACAGUUAAAAACAAUUGCAAAUGACUAAUCCAGUCUAAUCUUCUUAUCUUACAGUAGGAAACGGAAUUUUUUACCCUUCAGACGCAGAACAGUAAAGUGACUGACCUGGUCCACUGCCUGAUAUGAAGGAGCUGACACUAUGGCCCCCACAGGAGGAGAGAGACUCCUGCAGACACUGGCUGGGGGCUUCCCUGGGCCCCGAGCCUCAGAGACCCUCUCCUUGCUCCUCUCAGAUAGUUCUGGAGGCUGGAAGUCCAAGAUGAAGGCAUGGGCAGGUUUGGUUUCUUCUGAGGCCUCUCUCCUUGUCUUGCAGGUGACCGCCUUCUCCCUGUGUGCUCACGGGGUCUUUCCUGUGAGUGCACAUGUCUGGUGUCUGUGUGUUCAAAUGUCCUUUUCUUACAAGGACACCGGUCAGACUGAAUGAGGGCCCAUCCUAAUGGCCUCAUUUUAACUUAAUCACCUCUUUAAACACAUCUCCAGGGGCCAGCCCGGUGGCACAGCGAUUAAGUUCGCAUGUUCUACUUCGGCGGCCCGGGGUUCACCGGUUCAGAUCCUGGGUGCAGACAUGGCACUGCUUGGCAAGCCAUGCUGUAGCAGGCGUCCCAUGUAUAGAGUAGAGGAAGAUGGGCAUGGAUCUUAGCUCAGGGCCAGUCUUCCUUAGCAAAAAGAAGAGGAUUGGCAGUAGAUGUUAGCUCAGGGCUAAUCUUCCUCAAAAAAAAAAAAAAUCUCCAAAUAUCGUUACAUUUUGAGGUCACUCAGAUGUCUGAGAAAAUUCAUACAUUGAAGUUAGGACUUCUACAUAUGACUUUUGGGGGAUACAAUUCAGCACAUAAAUAUUUAGGGACCAUUUAUCCUACACUACAUGAAUAGGACCUUGGCCACAUACUGGGAUAUUAACAGGGCCCCGUCAUUGAUCCUGAGAGGUUUUAUCAUGUGCACAAACUGACUGCCAUGCCUCAGGCUGAGAGCUCAUCAUGUGAUGUGCCUUUAACAACCUCACAUUGGCUUAAAGAAUUUUGAAUUUUGAAUUUUUAUCUCUUCUUCAAUUUGCCUUUUUCUUCUGUUUUUCCAAGAAUUUAUUUUCACAGUUGGGACAUCCUUAAAGGAUUUUCAAUGUGAGUGGAGCUACUGAUGACAUGCAGGCUGAGCAUGGCUGAAAGUAGGAGAGGAGAGAUCAUCGGUCAAGGGAGAGCAGGCAGGCGAAUGUCAAACUGUCCCCAUCUAGACCGUGGACUGAGUCCUUCCUCUUGGGCUGCGUCACCGUCCUUCCUUCUUUCCUGAAUCCAGUAGUGCUUGUCAGGCAUCUGAAAUGGCUGGGCAACUGCAAAUACGCAGGUGACUGAUGUUAUCAAGUCCCUGCCUUUAUGAGUUUAUAGUUCAACUGUGUUAACUAUUAAAGAAAACGACUGAAAUAAACACAAUCCUGCCUUACCAGCAGAGAGGAUCCUAAAGGGAUCAUGACCAGCAAGUCUCUUGUCUUCCUUCCUGUCUUCCCAUACACACACAUUCAAAUGAAUCCGAAAUACAAGUUUUAGGUGUCCAUCUAAUGACACCUGCCCCAACCACUUGAUGUUAAGAACCGAGGUGUGUUCUCCACAGCCCCAAGUGUCCUUUGCAUGAAGUGGAUACUCAGUAUAUACUCACUGAUUUGACCUGAAUCUCCAAGAGGAAAGAUAGUUUAACCAAAACCACUACAAUACUCAGAAAUGUCGUCGCUGUCAGAGAGCGGCAGGAGGAGAGGUUUGAUUACUUGAGGAAAAAAAGCCCAGUGGCUGUGGGAAAGUUGUCACCCUCCUUACCUCAAGGACAUCAGGGGUCUGUGCUCUUCUUCAAGUAAUGAGUUGGAGAAAAGGGGCUAGCGGAGAGUUCCACCUGAAUUUCCUGCCACCAUUUCAAGCUGUGGACUUGAAGAGCCUAUGACUUUGGUUAAUUGCCCUGUGGUCUGCUCUCUAUAAAUAGCAGCUUCUUCGUGGGUAACCCAGGGCUGCCUCUGAAAUUGCCAGACUUGGAAAUUACAUCAACCCAGUUCAAUAGGUACUUAUCGUGUAGCUCAAGAGAAGGGUGCUCUCAAACAGCUUAGAUGACAAGUAGGGAAGAACCCAGGAGUCUGGAGAGGUAGCUUAGAAGAAGGUUGGCCUUUGUGUUUUGAAGAUUUCUCUCUAAGAUCUAAGCACUGGACCCCAAAACAAAGGAUAAGUAGAACCCAGGUGCUAGGUGGGAAAAUAUAGGUCUAGAAAAGUGGAAUCCUUCUCAUUCCACACUGGUGAUUGAUUUGGUGAUUAGUCUAAUCCAAAUGUGGACUUGUGUUCCCUGGGCCGGUGACAGUUGUGGGUAGAGGCAUAUGACCCUGUAAGAAAUGAAAAUCGGGUGCAGGAAUGAGGGAAGGGGAGAAGGGGGAAGGUUUCUGGGAGAGGCUAAAACUGAUAAAAUGUUCCUCAAUCAUUGUUAUGUUUCAGAUAACAGAUACCACUUGAACAUUAAGCAGAAAAAGAUUUAAUUUAGGAAAUGAAGGGCUUAAAAAUUCAUGGAUGGGCUAGUAGAGCAGGUCCUAGGCUACGCCUCCAGCAGCAACCAGCGGAACACAGCAGAAAUGUCAGCUGGGGUGGCUGCUACUUGUGUCACAAGCAAGAAGCUGGGGGAAUCAGGAAGCCACCACAGUAAGUGUGGCUCCAGAACUACACCACUUUACCUACGUCCGGGGAUCAGGAAACUACCUCCAGGGCCAGAUCGUACCCACUUGAUCUGCCUGGGCAAAAAUGGAGGCUCUACUUCCUGCUUCUCUGCACUCAGGAAGCCAGUGACAGGGCACUGGGGCUUCUGCUGGUAGUGCAGCAAAAGCUCAGCGCCUGCAUGACCACGUUUGCCAGGAAACAGCAGAUGAAGCAGACCACAGCCUCUUAGAUUUCAAGAGGGUGUGUCCGAUGUGCACUCUUCCACAGGGGAGCAGCUCUGUUAGGACAACACUCCUGCCUCCCUCCGUCCCUUCACACACUCCUUCCCUGGGUGGGGGAGUGACACAUCUGACUGCCCUUUUCCCCAAAUCUAGGCCUAAUUUGGAUCCCAUGGUCUCCUGUGGUCCUAACCAUCUAGAAGUCAUGUUAUGAAGGGUCCUGCCAAGAAGAGAUGAGGUAAAAUGGUAACAGCUGCUAUUGCCCUACUGUGUCUUCCCUCCAAAUCUGUCAACAACGUGAACUUCUCAGCGGCCUCUUUAUACCAGGCAUUGUGCUUCAAGACUCAGCUCUGGCCCUUAAGAAGCUUAGGUUCCCGCUGAAGAGACAGGAUGUGUACACACGAAAAGAUAACAGCUUGAGACCAUGCCAAAUGAACCAGAGAUGACAAAGUCUUUGAAAUUUGGUGUGUAUUUUAUACUCACAGUGCAUCUCAUUUUGGACUAGCAACAUUUCAAGUGCUCAGUAGCCACAUCUGGCUAGUGGCUACUGUAUUGGACAGCACAGCCACGGGAAUAUAACCUGGGAAGGCCUGAUCUGGGGAGGCGUGUCAGGAUGGAACUCUGGACCUUGGUUGGACUCAGGGGCAGACACAUUGUCAGGUGAUGCUCAGGAAGCAUGGAAUCAGGCCGAGGAGUGAGCCUCAAGUGUCUCUCAGCUACCACAGCCAGGUGCAUCCCGGAGCCAGGAGCCUCAGGCAACCCUCUGUGGCUGCAACUAAAAACAAUUAUUUACACUUGCUCCCAGCUUGCCUGGGGCUAUGAUGAGAUAAUGGCUGUAAACGCUCCGCCUUUCCUGGGGAUGGGCAGCAUCACCAAAGAACCCUGCCUUGCCUCAAUGUCCGAAACUGUCUCCAGUGCUUCCAGAAGUUCUGAAGAGCGAAGCCAGCCUGCAGCCAGACUGAAUCCUGACUCUACUCGCUAGCUGAGAAUCUUGGAGAAGUUACUGAAUUUCUGUACCUCAGCGCACUCAUCUGUGAAAGUGAGACUGAUGAAAGUACCCUCUUUGUAGAGUGUUUGAGAAUUAAAUGAAAUAGUGUGUGUAAAGAUUUUGCAAAGUGCCUGGUACACCAUGAACACAGUAACUGGUGGUGAUGGUGGUUUUGAUCACGGAAGGCAUCAACUGGAGAUUUAAUAUUUACCGAUCUAUGAGUACUCAAUUUUAAACAUUUUAUAAUAAACAUUAAGUUUACAAAAAUGUUGAAAAAGUAAUACAACGAACACCUUUGUACACACCAUUUAGAUUCAAUGAUGCUUUGUCUAUGACUUUGCCAUUUUCUGCUGUUAUUUGUGCAGUUUCUUUGCUAUUGUGUGUGUAUAUAUUUCCCCUCAAUCAUUUGAAAGGAAGUUGCAAGCGUCAUGACACUUCAGCCUUAAAUACUCCGGUGUGCAGCUCCUCCAAUAAGGAGAUUCUCCUGCGUAACUACGAUACCAUUAAUACAUCUAAAACAACUGACAGUGACUUUUAAAUAUUAUCUAACAGGGCACUGACUUUCGAAGAGGCCAGGCCACCUGUCUUAUAGAAUGUCCCGCUUUCUGGAUUUGUCUUAUUGUUUCUUUGCAGUGCUGUUUUCAGUGAAAAGUUUGAAAAAAAUCUGGAGCCUGAACUGGACUCCUGGGUUGUCCCAAGGACAUAUAACCCUACUGCCCAUCGGUCUGAGGGAGGAAACCAAAAAGCAAGGCACACUCAGUUUUUUGAAACUCUGCACCUGUUAAACCCUAACUUCCCAUUAUCCCCUCCCCCCUAGCAACCACCAUUCUACUUUCUGUCUAUGAAUUUCACUUCUCUAAGAACCUUAUAUAAGAGGAAUCAUACAAUAUUUGUGUUUUUGUGACUGGCUUAUUUCACUUAGCUUAAUGUCUUUGAUACCAGCCCCAAUAUCGGUUCCCCCACAGUAAACCCAGCAUAUAUGGGGUUAAAACCAAAGCACUCAUUCCCUGCUUACUCUCUGGCUUCCCGGCUCUAGAAACCACUAUCCACCAUGGGGACAAACAGCCAAGGUCACCCACUUGCAAAUUCCCUUAUCAUCCUCCUCCCUGUGAGCAGCCUCCCAAGGCGGAAGGCAGGCUGGUGGGAAAGCUCUGACCAGUGAGGCCACAAACUCUCUGCCCCCCACCCCUCCCAAGUAGAAACAUUCCUUGCAACCUUUAAAACCCCUCACCUCCCAUCUUUUGGGGAGACAAGAAGAGACGAGAUGAAUUUGAGGACUCUCAUCUCCUGGCUG
ensembl:lncRNA